GUGAGGAAUAUUGCGCAAUGGAGGCAACUCUGACGCAGCCAUGCCGCGUGCAGGAAGAAGGCGCUACGCGUUGUAAACUGCUUUUAACCGGGAAGAAACCCCAGGACGUGUCCUGGGUUGACGGUACCGGAGGAAUAAGCACCGGCUAACUUCGUGCCAGCAGCCGCGGUAAUACGAAGGGUGCAAGCGUUAUCCGGAUUCAUUGGGUUUAAAGGGUGCGUAGGCGGAGCGUUAAGUCAGUGGUGAAAUCCUGCAGCUUAACUGUAGACUUGCCAUAGAUACUGGCGCUCUUGAGUGCGCUUGAAGUGGGCGGAAUGUGCCGUGUAGCGGUGAAAUGCUUAGAUAUGGUACAGAACACCAAUUGCGAAGGCAGCUCACUAAGGCGAUACUGACGCUGAGGCACGAAAGCGUGGGGAUCGAACAGGAUUAGAUACCCCGGUAGUCC
rnacentral:rRNA from 1 species